rnacentral:rRNA from 1 species
GAGUUUGAUCCUGGCUCAGGACGAACGCUGGCGGCGUGCUUAACACAUGCAAGUCGAACGGAAAGGCCUGCUUUCCCUUGUGGAUUGCGGGUGCUCGAGUGGCGAACGGGUGAGUAACACGUGAGUGAUCUGCCCCCAACUUGGGUAUAAGCCUGGGAAACUGGGUCUAAUUCCCGAUAGGACUGCAGGGUGGUGCCUGUGGUGGAAAACGAUUUUCUAGUGGUUGGGGAUGAGCUCGCGGCCUAUCAGCUUGUUGGUGGGGUAAUGGCCUACCAAGGCGGCGACGGGUAGCCGGCCUGAGAGGGUGGACGGCCACAUUGGGACUGAGAUACGGCCCAGACUCCUACGGGAGGCAGCAGUGGGGAAUAUUGCACAAUGGGCGGAAGCCUGAUGCAGCGACGCCGCGUGGGGGAUGACGGCCUUCGGGUUGUAAACUCCUUUCGACCGCGAGGAAGCCGCCUGGUUGGAAGGGUGGUGACCGUAGUGGUAGAAGAAGCACCCGCUAACUACGUGCCAGCAGCCGCGGUAAUACGUAGGGUGCCAGCGUUGUCCGGAUUUACUGGGCGUAAAGAACUCGUAGGUGGCUUGUCGCGUCGUCUGUGAAAGUCUGGGGCUUAACUCCGGGUGUGCAGGCGAUACGGGCUGGCUUGAGUGCUGUAGGGGAGACUGGAAUUCCUGGUGUAGCGGUGGAAUGCGCAGAUAUCAGGAGGAACACCGAUGGCGAAGGCAGGUCUCUGGGCAGCCACUGACGCUGAGGAGCGAGAGCAUGGGUAGCGAACAGGAUUAGAUACCCUGGUAGUCCAUGCUGUAAACGGUGGGCGCUAGGUGUGGGGACUUUCCAUGGUUUCCGUGUCGUAGCUAACGCGUUAAGCGCCCCGCCUGGGGAGUACGGCCGCAAGGCUAAAACUCAAAGGAAUUGACGG